CCUUGUAAAUUUCUUCUAUCCAUCUUGGCAUUUCAACUAGUGAUGUCAUAAUGCAGGACUUGUUAGGUGAGCAUGUCGCUGAGAUUUCUUGGGUACAGCCUCCCUAUCACAUCCAGAAGAUACUGUCUCACAUCAGGAAUCAUGCCUCUUCCUCUAGCACUUACGGUCUUCUUACUCCUCUCUUCUCCAAGCCUUAAGUUUCAGAGAAUUCAAUCACAAGUUCUCUGGCAUAAAUCUGUGGAACUAGGAAUUCAUCUGACCUCAUCCUGAAUCUCAGAAAAGUCAUCAUGCUUCCUGGAAAGACAGAACUCUUCAGACUGGCCAGCUACGAAGCACACAGAACCUGAGCCCGUUGUAACAUGGGAACCUGGACUAGCUUGAUAGCUCCACAGUUGAAAAAUGGACAGGAACCCUUAUUGUGGCCCAUGUGGAUCUUGGACAAGCUCUUAUCGAAUCAUUUUGACAAGAUGUUUCUGAACUUGUGACCAGAAUAUUCUUAGACCAUCUCACUGAAUUUAGAAUCUAUACAUUAAAGACGAAAGGACGAGAAUUAAUAAAUGAUGUGUUCUGCUCAGGA